rnacentral:rRNA from 1 species
UUUGAUCAUGGCUCAGAUUGAACGCUGGCGGCAGGCCUAACACAUGCAAGUCGAGCGGAUGAGAAGAGCUUGCUCUUCGAUUCAGCGGCGGACGGGUGAGUAAUGCCUAGGAAUCUGCCUGGUAGUGGGGGACAACGUUUCGAAAGGAACGCUAAUACCGCAUACGUCCUACGGGAGAAAGCAGGGGACCUUCGGGCCUUGCGCUAUCAGAUGAGCCUAGGUCGGAUUAGCUAGUUGGUGAGGUAAUGGCUCACCAAGGCGACGAUCCGUAACUGGUCUGAGAGGAUGAUCAGUCACACUGGAACUGAGACACGGUCCAGACUCCUACGGGAGGCAGNNNUGGGGAAUAUUGGACAAUGGGCGAAAGCCUGAUCCAGCCAUGCCGCGUGUGUGAAGAAGGUCUUCGGAUUGUAAAGCACUUUAAGUUGGGAGGAAGGGCAUUAACCUAAUACGUUAGUGUUUUGACGUUACCGACAGAAUAAGCACCGGCUAACUCUGUGCCAGC